CAGCUCUAGCUCUUCUCUCUCUCCCCAAAGCCCUCCCAUGGAUGCUGCGGCCCUAAUAACUUCUCUCUACCUGUACAGUCUCAAAGCAUUGCUUGCCAGUACCACACUCUUGGCAACCAUGUACAAGCCUUUGACAAGCCUUUCGUUGUUAUUUGACCUUUGUGCUGUUUACUUUUCAGGUUCAAUGGGUUUUCCUUUUCUUUAUACAAGUCUAUCACUGCCACUGCUUGGGCUUAUGGCCAUGAUCAGAAUGUUUGGUGGAGGAGGGAGGGUGAUAAAGGAAAUGAAGGGAGGAAAAGCAUUUUCCUAAGCCCACUGCAAAAACUGGAACCAGAGGAGACGGAGAAUGUUAACUCCUUGUAUAUAUGUGUGAGAAAGAACCUGAGCUGGAAUUAAAACAGAGGCACUCCCUCUGAAGAGGAAGGAGAAACUGAGAGAGUGAGGCAGUUCCUGCUGAACCUUUGUUAGCUCUUGUGGUGAAGGGAGUUUUCGCCAUCAGGGGCAGCCUUGGGAGAGGAUGCUGCUAUAGAAAAAGCUCAUGAAACUCAAAGGCACAGAGACAAGCUCAUGGCUGCAUUAUGAAGCUUGCAUAGUCCCAGGAGAGCGGAUAGCCCUCUUAGCAGAUUCAAAUUCCACUCUCUCUAGAAACAUGAAGUAGCAGCCUACUGUGUACAAGAAAGCCAUCAGCAAUGAGGGACCUGCAGCCAAGUUCGUUACGGACCAGCUUGCUGAGUUGUCUUGAAAAGCGGGCUUACAGGUGUUCUAAGCCCAUGUUUUAUCCUGAAGUUCCCCUCGACAAGAAAAACGAAUUCAUAGCACAAAGUACACCAGUUUAAGACUAGCCUUAGAAUUCUUUUUUGCAUUAAUCCAAACAGAAGAGAUUUGUUUUACCAUUCCUUCAAUCGUUCCCACAGAGAGAAGUCAGAAAUCUGACUGCGUAUGUCAAGCCUCUGAGCCCAAGCCGGCCUGUAUACAUCCAGAUAGCCUGAAGCAACUGAAGAAUCACAAAAGAAGUGAAAAUGGCCGGUUCCUGACUUAACUGAUGACAUUACCUUGUGAAAUUCCUUCUCCUGGCCCAGGAGCUCCCCACCAAGCACCUUGUGACCCCCGCCCUGCCCUCAAGAGAACAACCCCCUUUGACUGUAAUUUUCCACUACCCACACAAAUCCUAUAAAACUGCCUCACCCCUAGUUCCCUUUGCUGACUCUUUUUUCAGAUUCAGCCCACCUGCACCCAGGUGAUUAAAAAGCUUUAUUGCUCACACAAAGCCUGUUGGUGGUCUCUUCACAUGGACACGCAUGACAUUUAGGUGCCGAAGAUCCAGGACAGGGGGACUCCUUUGGGAGACCUGUCCCUUGUCCUUGCACUCACUCUGUGAGGAGAUCCACCUACUGUCAGGCCUCUGAGCCCAAGCUAAGCCAUCAUAUCCCCCUGUGACCUGCACUUAUACAUCCAGAUGGCCUGAAGCAACUGAAGAUCCACAAAAGAAGUGAAAAUAGCCAGGUCCUGCCUUAGCUAAUGACAUUCCACCAUUGUGAUUUGUUCCUGCCCCACCCUAACUGAUCAAUUGACUUUGUGACAAUACACCCUCCCCGCCCUUGUGAUAAUGUACUUUGUGAUAUUCCCCCAUCCUUGUGAAUGUGCUUUGUACAAUACACCCUGCCCACCCUUAAGAAGGUACUUUGUAAUAUUCUCCCCUGCCCUUAAGGUACUUUGUAAUAUUCUCCCCACCCUUAAGAAUGUACUUUGUAAGAUCUACCCCCUGAUCGCAAAAAAAUUGCUCCUAACCCCACCGCCUAUCUCAAA
rnacentral:lncRNA from 1 species